UCCGGUUUGGCACCGGCAGUCUCCGAUGAGUCCCCGGCAUUACCCGCUGGCAACAUCGGACAGGGGUUGCGCUCGUUGCGCCACUUAAGGCUUCACCGAUAUGAGCCGGGUUUUCCCCAGGAAUCGCUUCCUGGGGCCGCGAAUAGGUCACGGCACGAGCUGACGACAGCCAUGCACCACCUGUCAGGGGCCCUUACGGACACUGCAUCUCUGCAGCUUUUCCCCUGAUGUCAAACCCAGGUAAGGUUCUUCGCGUUGCCUCGAAUUAAGCCACAUGCUCCGCCGCUUGUGCGGGUCCCCGUCAAUUCCUUUGAGUUUUAGCCUUGCGGCCGUACUCCCCAGGCGGGGUGCUUAAUGCGUUAGCUGCGGCACGGAUCGCGUCGAUAGCGACCCACACCUA
rnacentral:misc_RNA from 1 species